rnacentral:lncRNA from 1 species
UUGGUUAAAUCAGUCCCCAUGCAAGUUUUAGAUUAUGAUCUAAUUUUGGUGUGUUUCUUUCGGUAUUAAUAAUGGAUUUCAUGGUAAAAAUUAUUUUUUUAAUUGUUAAACUAUUUUGACUUAUAUAACCUAUUCAUUAAAUAAAUCAGGUUAAAUCAAGUUAAAAAUGAUUAUUUAAUCCAUCAAAAAAUUUUAGCUAAAAUUAAAAUCUGUAAUCAAUUUUAUUAAUUGAAUUCAAUGAGACAUGAAUUUCAGUAGUUUAAUUAUUUAAAAAAUUUAUCAAAUAUUCAAUCUA